AGUGAACGCUGGCGGUAGGCCUAACACAUGCAAGUCGAACGGCAGCACAGUAAGAGCUUGCUCUUACGGGUGGCGAGUGGCGGACGGGUGAGGAAUACAUCGGAAUCUACUUUUUCGUGGGGGAUAACGUAGGGAAACUUACGCUAAUACCGCAUACGUCCUACGGGUGAAAGCAGGGGAUCUUCGGACCUUGCGUGAUUGGUUGAGCCGAUGUCGGAUUAGCUAGUUGGCGGGGUAAAGGCCCACCAAGGCGACGAUCCGUAGCUGGUCUGAGAGGAUGAUCAGCCACACUGGAACUGAGACACGGUCCAGACUCCUACGGGAGGCAGCAGUGGGGAAUAUUGGACAAUGGGCGCAAGCCUGAUCCAGCCAUACCGCGUGGGUGAAGAAGGCCUUCGGGUUGUAAAGCCCUUUUGUUGGGAAAGAAAAGCAGCAGGUUAAAACCCCGCUGUUCUGACGGUACCCAAAGAAUAAGCACCGGCUAACUUCGUG
rnacentral:rRNA from 1 species